rnacentral:rRNA from 1 species
GAUGAACGCUGGCGGCGUGCCUAAUACAUGCAAGUCGAGCGAACAGACGAGGAGCUUGCUCCUCUGACGUUAGCGGCGGACGGGUGAGUAACACGUGGAUAACCUACCUAUAAGACUGGGAUAACUUCGGGAAACCGGAGCUAAUACCGGAUAAUAUAUUGAACCGCACGGUUCAAUAGUGAAAGACGGUUUUGCUGUCACUUAUAGAUGGAUCCGCGCCGCAUUAGCUAGUUGGUAAGGUAACGGCUUACCAAGGCAACGAUGCGUAGCCGACCUGAGAGGGUGAUCGGCCACACUGGAACUGAGACACGGUCCAGACUCCUACGGGAGGCAGCAGUAGGGAAUCUUCCGCAAAGGGCGAAAGCUUGACGGAGCAACGCCGCGUGAGUGAUGAAGGUCUUCGGAUCGUAAAACUCUGUUAUUAGGGAAGAACAAAUGUGUAAGUAACUAUGCACGUCUUGACGGUACCUAAUCAGAAAGCCACGGCUAACUACGUG